GUUCCAGUAGCUCAGCUGGAUAGAGCACUCGCCUUCUAAGCGAGCGGUCGUGGGUUCGAAUCCCUCCUGGAACA
rfam:Enterococcus hermanniensis strain DSM 17122 Scaffold1, whole genome shotgun sequence.